UUCAAAACGCAUCGCAGUACCAUUCCCUAACCUAAUUGCUAUCAUCGACUGCGCCCAAAGCAAACUUCGCCGUCAGAGUCCAGAAGAGUUUAGGGUUCUGGAGGGCUUUGAUUCGAAGAACGGUAUCAAUUGGGGCUUUGGUUUGGUGAUUAACUAUAUCAGCGUUUUGGCAUUUUUGGUAUUGAGGAGUCUUGGGUUUUUUGUGAGUUCCAGUAGGUUGUAGGCAUUACAGUUUGAUGGCCGACCGGAAUUCCGCCAUUGUUAAGCCUAUAUGGAUGAAGCAAGCCGAAGAGGCAAAGCUCAAGAGUGAGGCUGAGAAAGCCGCGGCUGCAAAAGCCGCUUUUGAAGCCACCUUCAAGGAUGUAGAGAAAAAUCGUGAAAAGGAAUCGGCUUUAUCAGACAGUGAAUCGGAAGAAUAUGAGGAUUUGGCGAACAAACCGAUUGGGCCAGUGGACCCUUCAAAGUGCACAGCUGCUGGUACUGGCAUAGCGGGCGGCACUGCAUGUGCCCCAUCUUCGUUUAUGGUGGUAACGAAAGAUGCGGAUGGGAGGAAGGUGCCCAAUGGGGGCGCGCAGAUUAAGGUGAAGGUGUUGCCUGGAGUGGGUGUUGGAGGAUCAGAGCAAGAAGGUAUUGUGAAGGAUAUGAGUGAUGGAACAUAUACAGUUACCUACGUGGUUCCGAAGAGGGGGAAUUACAUGGUGAAUGUUGAGUGUAAUGGGAAGCCCAUCAUGGGUAGCCCAUUCCCAGUAUUUUUCAGUGCAGGUACUCAAGGUGCUAGUACCGGAGGACUACUAGGUUUGGCCCCUGCCUCCAGUUUUCCAAAUAUGGUUAAUCAAACCAUGCCCAAUAUGCCAAAUUAUUCAGGAUCUGUUUCAGGGGCAUUCCCAGGAUUAUUGGGAAUGAUUCCAGGCAUUGUACCUGGUGCAUCAGGGGGUGCUAUUUUGCCUGGAAUUGGUGCAUCUUUGGGGGAAGUUUGUCGAGAGUACCUUAAUGGUCGGUGUGCCAAAACUGACUGUAAGUUGAACCACCCACCUCACAAUUUGCUAAUGACUGCACUAGCUGCAACAACCACAAUGGGGACUGUAAGUCAAGUUCCCAUGGCACCGUCUGCAGCUGCAAUGGCUGCUGCUCAAGCAAUUGUUGCUGCCCAAGCCCUUCAAGCCCAUGCAGCUCAGGUGCAAGCACAAGCUCAGUCCGCCAAAGAAUUAUCUGGUUCACCUGAUAAAGCUGGGAAGGCUGAUGCACUGAAGAAGACACUUCAAGUUAGCAACCUUAGCCCACUUCUCACAGUGGAACAACUCAAACAACUUUUCAGCUUUUGCGGCACCGUUGUUGAAUGUACCAUCACUGAUUCAAAGCAUUUUGCUUAUAUAGAAUACUCAAAACCUGAAGAAGCAACUGCAGCUUUGGCACUGAAUAAUAUGGAUGUUGGAGGUCGCCCUUUGAAUGUUGAAAUGGCAAAAUCUCUUCCUCAAAAACCAGCUCUUUUGAAUUCUCCACUGUCUUCAUCUUCUCUGCCUCUGAUGAUGCAGCAAGCUGUUGCCAUGCAGCAGAUGCAAUUCCAGCAGGCACUGCUUAUGCAACAAACUAUGACUGCACAGCAGGCAGCAAACCGAGCUGCAACCAUGAAGUCAGCAACAGAGUUAGCUGCAGCCAGAGCUGCAGAAAUAAGUAAGAAAUUAAAACCUGAUGGACUUGGAGAUGAAGAGAAGGAAGCAAAAAGAAAAUCCAGAUCACCAUCAAUCUCUCGCCCGAAGUCAAGGUCCAAGUCAAGGUCACCAGCCAAUUUUCAACGAAGGCGCAGGUCUCGUUCUUACUCACCUCCAUCCCGCCAACCAAGGGAUCAUAGAUCCAGAUCGCCAGUGAGAUCUCGCCAUCAUUCCAGCUAUGAAAAUGAAUGGCGGUCCCAUAGAGACAUUCGGGAUGGUGGUGACAGAACUAGAAUGCGAGAUUUAGGAAGAUCACGUCGGGAUUCUGAAAGAUCAGAUCGUCAUUCAUCUUCUCUAAGGAGAAACAGGAGGAGUGUGAGCCCUCUAACGAGAAAAUCGUACCGAGCUGACUCGGUCUCACCAAAACGUUAUCAAGAAAGUUCACUGCAUAGAGCAAGGAAAUCAUCUCGUGCUCGUUCAAGAUCCCCAAGUCAUCACAGGGGAGGUAGGUCAUCUCCAAGAAUUGACGAUGAAAACAAAUCAAGACACAGAAAACGCUCUAGGUCAAAAUCGGUUGAAGGCAAGCAUCAGUCUGAUGACAAAAUAGAUGAGUCCCGAGAUGAAAAAUCAAAGCAUAAUGACCGAAGGCGGUCCAGGUCAGUAUCUCCUGAAGGCAAGCAUCAUAGAAGCAGCAGGUCAUCUCCAACUCCAAGAAUUUUGGGGGAAAAUAAAUUCAGACAUAGAGGGAGGUCCAGGUCAAAGUCUUUAGAAGGUAAGCCCCACUCCAAUGAGAAAUCCAACGAAUCCAGGGAUAAACCAAAACAUAGUGAUAGAAGGCGGUCUAGAUCAAAGUCUCUGGAGCGCAAGCGUCACACUGAGGGGAAAGUAGAUGAAAUAAGGGAAGAAAAAUCUAGACAUCGUGAUAGAAGGCGGUCCAGAUCGAGAUCUGUGGAAGGAAAGCGGCACUCCAAGGAGAAAGCAGAUGAAAGCAGGGACAGAAAAUCAAAGCAUCGUGAUAGAAGACGGUCAAGGUCGGUCUCCGUGGAGGCUAGGCAUUAUAGAGGAGGUAGGUCAUCUCCAAAAGAUUUAGAUGGUAGAAAACUAAAACACAGAAGGCAUUCUAGGUCAAAUUCUGCUGAAAGGAAGCAUCACUCCUAUGAUAGAGCAGAUGAGAGUAGAGCUGUAAAGUCAAAGCAGCGUGAGAGAUCACGGUCCAGAUCAAUAUCAGCAGAACACAAGCAUAAUAGAGGUGGUAGUUUGUCACCGAUAAGCUUGGUGGAAAAUAAAACAAAAGACACAAGGCAAUCUACGCCAGAAUCUGGUGAAGGGAACCUUCAUUCCUGUGAUGGAAGGGAUGAAAACAGUGAUGAAAAUUUGAAGCAUCAUGAACAUGCAGAAAAGGAACCAGAUACCAUUUUGAAGGAUUUGACUAGCAUGAAUGAUAAUGGUCUGUUAAUUUCAGUACGUGAGAAUCGUAACUUGAAGGAAGCAAUGAAAACUAGGGCAAUGGAAGGUGACCAGGAUAUGGAAAACACUCAUUUGACAAAUGUUAGCAGUGAAGAUGGUUCAUUUUUUCGAGGUUGUAAAAUCCCCUUGGUUGCUGAGGAGAUAAUGGAAAAUGGAGCAUCCGAUGUUGAGCAUCCAGAGCUAGGAAUGGGAGAUCAAAAAAAUUGUGAGAAGUCAAUUCGUGUUGAAAAUAGUGACAAAACUUGCUUAAGCCAGGAUCACGUCGGAGAUGAAUCAGAGUUCAUGAUUGGAGGCAGGUCUUCAAUUUCCCAGAUGCUGAAGGCUCAACAGAGAAGCUCCAUCUCACCUGAGGAAGAUAUGUUUUCAAGUGAUGCCAGUGCAGAAGAUAAACGCUGAUGUUAAAAGUCUAACUGGAGGAUGUGGUUGCUUUUAAUUUGAGACUUUUUUAUGCUGAGGGAUGGGUGCAUUUUCUCGGAUAAAAGCUCGGUGCUUAGUGUUUCUUUUGGUGCCUGGAAUUUUCUGCUGGCUGUUGGUUCUUCAUAAAUGCACUUUCUGUGUCUGUUUAUUCCUUGCAGGUCUUGUGGGAUACUGGAAUUACAGUGCUGAAGCUGGUCUUGCUGUGGUUUAAGUAUUUCAAGAAGUGUCAUGGUUUCAUCCACAAUCGGCCAUGUGAUGUUUGUAGCAAGCUUCUUUUACUACUUGAUGAUUGUAUCCUGAAAAAUGCAGGUAUUCAUGGUGAUUUUUCAUUGGAGCUUUCUGAUAUUCAAUUUGGCAGGAUUGAUUUUCUCUGAUAUAAAUAAAGGUAUGCUAUCGGUUAGGUAAAGGUACUGUUAAGGUCCAGUGAAACCAGAUGUUGCUGGGAUGAAUUGCAUCAAAAUUCCAGUGUGUUGAGUAUGAUCAGAUUUCCUGACUCAAUUUACACAUUACUUAAACUUAUGGUGAAAUGCGAGUGUUGAUUUUUAUCAGGUAAUUUUCCAUGAAACUGUUGGGUUGAGUUUUCCUUUGAAAGCAUAAAAAAUAAUUGUGGAAGCUUGUGUUUGUGCAUGUGGUUAUUUUACAUGGAUUAUAACUGUUCCCUGCAGCGACUUAAACUGGGUGGACCAUUGGAAUUUUUCUAAUGAAUAUUUGUGCAUGCAUUUACUUGUUGGAACCAAAAAUUUAGGAUUGGUAUAUAUAUAUUUUUUUUCAUUAAACAAGAUUUUAUUGAGGAUGGGUAUUUUUUCAUGGCUUUACUAUCAUUUGGACUUCAUUCGGGAUGUGUUGGGGAGGAGGGGGCAUGAGUAGAUUUUAGUGCAAGUGUCUUCUUCAACGUCUCUUGCACUGAGUUCCUGUCUUAGUAGUUUUUUUCUGUCAUGCUCAAUCAACUCUGCAUGUGCUCUUAUCGACCAGAAAACCAUGAGAAAUAGUUUUUGGGACAAAAGGUGGAUUUAUAUAUUUAUUUCCAAACACCCUGUUGACAAUUGGAACUAACUUUUGGUUGAUGUAGUCGGUGCCUGAAACCGGCCCUGUGACCCUCUCUGUACCUUUCCCCCCCUCUCCCAAUUUUGUUUUUAGGGUAAGCUAUGGAUAUAGGAUGGUUGAGAGCUGCAUACUUUGGGGGCUCAACUCUGGAAUGAGUUACGUGAAGUGGAUGUGAAAAAGUUGCAUCUUCCUGAGCUUCCUAGUUUUCGUCUUUCUUCCCUUGUUUCAUUUCAUUUUGCUCUUUUAUAAUCAAUCAUACAUACUUUCCAUGGUAUUGGGGUAUUGCUACGAGAAAACAAGCAUUGAGCUAAUAAGGGGAUUUAGCAUUGACUUACC